rnacentral:rRNA from 1 species
AGUGAACGCUGGCGGUAGGCCUAACACAUGCAAGUCGAACGGAAGCACAGUAAGAGCUUGCUCUUACGGGUGGCGAGUGGCGGGCGGGUGAGGAAUACAUCGGAAUCUACUUUUUCGUGGGGGAUAACGUAGGGGAACUUACGCUCAUACCGCAUACGCCCUACGGGUGAAAGCAUGGGAUCUUAGGACCUUGCGCGAUUGAAUGAGCCGAUGUCGGAUUAGCUGGUUGGCGGGGUAAAGGCCCACCAAGGCGACGAUCCAUAGCUGGUCUGAGAGGAUGAUCAGCCACACUGGAACUGAGACACGGUCCAGACACCUACGGGAGGCAGCGGUGGGGAAUAUUGGACAAGGGGCGCAAGCCUGAUCCAGCCAUACCGCGUGGGUGAAGAAGGCCUUCGGGUUGUAAAGCCCUUUUGUUGGGAAAGAAAAGCAGCAGGUUAAUACCCCGCUGUUCUGACGGUACCCAAAGAAUAAGCACCGGCUAACUUCGU